CUAGUCCUCAGCUAGUUUCUUGCAUGUGCGGAGCCCAUCUAAUUUAACGUUAUUGAUUUAGCUAACGUUAACUGUUAGCUAACUUACCGUUACUGUUCCUCAGCAUGUUACCGGAAAAUAGCUAGCCGAACAGUUAACGCUACAAAACGUUUUAAUAUAUCAUUUAUAUAACAUGUAUAACAUUAAACUAUAUAUUUGUAACUUACUUUCUAUCUUGGUAGUGUUAUAAAAUGCUCAACAACGAAUAGUUACUUAACGUUGGCUACAUCAAAUCAAGUGUUAAGUCCCUCUUUUCCAAAUCUCCAGUCCAACGUCUGCAUCUCAUUUUGAACCUAAUUUGAAUAUGAUGACCAUGCUUUUCUAUUGAUGUCACUAAGCCAUCUGACAGACCAAUAGACGUGACUUUGAAAAACCCAUCUCGACACUUGAUCCCACCUACUCGGCUCACUUGCCUCCCAUUGGAAAGGACAGGAUGUGGUCUAUUUUAGUAGAACAUCUUUGGUAUUACUGAAUGACAACAAUAUAGCCUUGUUCACUACUAGUUGGCAAGUUGGUUGAUAUGGGGUGCAGUAGGCUAGCGUCGUUGUUAUUCAUUGGGUCCCUUGACAAAAUUAUGUUAUUUUUGACUUGGUAAAAUAAGCUAAUGGUUGUGUGCACUCUCACUAGAUAGAAUUGUGUGGUUUGGUGGCAGAUUGUCAUAAGAAAAUAGACAUAUACUGUAUAUCAUCAGCAAUUCUCAAUCAGAUGAGAUACACAGCUAACCCAUAUUGCAUUUCAUUCAUUCAUAAAUGUGGACACUAAUUAUUGUUAAUAUUCCAAUUCUCUAGGCCCUCUAUUCCCAACCCUGAAGCCCCCUGUCCCCAGCAGGAAAGACCAGGAAAAAGUGUUGGCUUAACUUCCUAUUGAGGAAAUAUCUGCCAACCUGCUCGGCGGGUGACAGGUAACCGUCUUUCCACCAAGCUGUUCCAGGCCUGGAGUGGCACGCUGGAACUUCCAGAGGCUUGUAGACCAGAAGCAGUUUGUUGUGGUCCAGAUUUGACACCCCUAUUAGCUCAACCACAGUCUUCACAGCUGCAGUCGUCUGCCCCUGCGUCUGCUACCCCGGGCCACGACAGGUGAUACAGAUGGAGAAUGUCCUCCUCUAACAGUGGCGAUGGUGUUGGAGUUUUCUGGCAACGGUGGUGCCACCCCUUGGGUUUGAGGACACCCCGACCAUCGAAUUCCUCCACACAGCGCGAGGGCGUCUCACUGGGCAGCAGAAGAAAAAGUACCCAGAGGCAAACACGUGUGCUGUGACACUAAGGCUCCCUCUUCAUAGCACCUACAAUGCCUUUAGGGAAUUCAUGACCUCCGGUAUUGUGAAUUCCCCACAUUUCGGUGUUGCAUAAAAACAUUUUUACGAUACAUAAUUGUAUCUAGUAGCACUAAAUUACAGUAGCAAUUGAGUGUUUGAAAAUGUAACUGCACAUCAACAUUUAAACAUUUAUCUACUUACAUCUGUAUUGUUUGUACAGUGCAUUCGGAACGUAUUCAGACCCCUUGACUU